AUCCAUGGCCAUGCUACCCUGAAUAAGCGCAAUCCUGUAUGAUCUCGGAAGCUAAGUAGGGUUGAGCUUGAUUAGUACUUGGAUGGGAGACCACUUAGGAAGACCAGGUACUGUAAGCG
rnacentral:rRNA from 1 species